rnacentral:rRNA from 1 species
ACCAGGUUGACCUCGGAUCAGGUAGGGAUACCCGCUGAACUUAAGCAUAUCAAUAAGCGGAGGAAAAGAAACCAACAGGGAUUGCCUCAGUAACGGCGAGUGAAGCGGCAAGAGCUCAAAUUUGAAAGCUGGCUCCUUCGGGGUCCGCAUUGUAAUUUGCAGAGGAUGCUUCGGGAGCGGCCCCCAUCUAAGUGCCCUGGAACGGGCCGUCAUAGAGGGUGAAAAUCCCGUCUGGGAUGGGGUGUCCGCGCCCGUGUGAAGCUCCUUCGACGAGUCGAGUUGUUUGGGAAUGCAGCUCUAAAUGGGUGGUAAAUUUCAUCUAAAGCUAAAUAUUGGCCGGAGACCGAUAGCGCACAAGUAGAGUGAUCGAAAGAUGAAAAGCACUUUGAAAAGAGAGUUAAACAGCACGUGAAAUUGUUGAAAGGGAAGCGCUUGCGACCAGACUCGCCCACGGGGUUCAGCCGGCAUUCGUGCCGGUGUACUU